CCCUUCGGGGUGUGACUGCGUACCUUUUGUAUAAUGGGUCAGCGACUUAUAUUCUGUAGCAAGGUUAACCGUAUAGGGGAGCCGGAGGGAAACCGAGUCUUAACCGGGCGUUAAGUUGCAGGGUAUAGACCCGAAACCCGGUGAUCUAGCCAUGGGCAGGUUGAAGGUUGGGUAACACUAACUGGAGGACCGAACCGACUAAUGUUGAAAAAUUAGCGGAUGACCUGUGGCUGGGGGUGAAAGGCCAAUCAAACCGGGAGAUAGCUGGUUCUCCCCGAAAGCUAUUUAGGUAGCGCCUCGUGAAUUCAUCUCCGGGGGUAGAGCACUGUUUCGGCUAGGGGGCCAUCCCGGCUUACCAACCCGAUGCAAACUGCGAAUACCGGAGAAUGUUAUCACGGGAGACGCACGGCGGGUGCUAACGUCCGUCGUGAAGAGGGAAACAACCCAGACCGCCAGCUAAGGUCCCAAAGUCAUGGUUAAGUGGGAAACGAUGUGGGAAGGCCCAGACAGCCAGGAUGUUGGCUUAGAAGCAGCCAUCAUUUAAAGAAAGCGUAAUAGCUCACUGGUCGAGUCGGCCUGCGCGGAAGAUGUAACGGGGCUAAACCAUGCACCGAAGCUGCGGCAGCGACGCUGAUGCGUUGUUGGGUAGGGGAGCGUUCUGUAAGCCUGCGAAGGUGACCUGUGAGGGUUGCUGGAGGUAUCAGAAGUGCGAAUGCUGACAUAAGUAACGAUAAAGCGGGUGAAAAGCCCGCUCGCCGGAAGACCAAGGGUUCCUGUCCAACGUUAAUCGGGGCAGGGUGAGUCGACCCCUAAGGCGAGGCCGAAAGGCGUAGUCGAUGGGAAACGGGUUAAUAUUCCCGUACUUGGUGUUACUGCGAAGGGGGGACGGAGAAGGCUAUGUUGGCCGGGCGACGGUUGUCCCGGUUUAAGCGUGUAGGUGUGUGUUCCAGGUAAAUCCGGUUCACUUUAACACUGAGGCGUGAUGACGAGGCACUACGGUGCUGAAGCAACAAAUGCCCUGCUUCCAGGAAAAGCCUCUAAGCAUCAGGUAACAUCAAAUCGUACCCCAAACCGACACAGGUGGUCAGGUAGAGAAUACCAAGGCGCUUGAGAGAACUCGGGUGAAGGAACUAGGCAAAAUGGUGCCGUAACUUCGGGAGAAGGCACGCUGACACGUAGGUGAAGUGAUUUACUCA
rnacentral:rRNA from 1 species